GGAGUAAAGAAUGAGAAGUCCAGGUAGAAGGGCUGCCUGGGUGCCGGGGGGCCGCCUGCCGAGUCGGUCAGAGUUAUGUAACCAGCUGUGCAUCAGGCUCCGUUUCUGUCUGAUGGAUGCUCUGAAGCGCCUGCGACAUGAAGUGCCUGAGACAGAGGGGCAGAAACGUCCCUGUGAUAUUGUCAGUGUCUGUGCAGGGCUGAAUGAAGGGACGGUUCUGAGCUCACUGUAGCCAAGGCCUGAGGGAUCCAGACGGGUCACAGGCACAAAUGGCCAGAGGAUUUUAGAAGAAGGCAACUGCGUCCACUUCCACAGCUGGGUUUGCCCCCUCUGUAACAGUGCCUGGCACAGAGUGGUGCUCAGGAUCCAAACUACUGGAUACAAGUGCACCGCCUGGAACAUGGGGAUGGAGGAAUUCUCGAUCUUGACGACAUCCUCUGUGAUGUGGCAGAUGACAAAGACAGGGUGAGUGCAAGCCCAGGGAAGCGCCUCUGAGCACAUCUUUUGAAGGCGGGGGAGGGCGUGGGUGGCAGGAGCAGCUGCCUUCCUAUUUCAGGCACGUGUACUUUAAAGAACAUUUGGGCCACUCAUACUGGUUUGUUUCUUUUAAAAGAAGUGCCAUGAAUCCUCCCUUCCCUGAACCCCAGGGUAUAAUGAUCUUUCUUGAGACCUGGGAGUCAAUCCGAAGUUUUGGAAUUUGAAAUGGCAGGGUUUUAAAAAGGAGUAUGGUUAAGAGCUUUCCAUGUUGGUCCUCCCUUAUUUUAACCAAACGUAACAUCUUUCUUGAUAACUCAGGUCUGUUACGAUCGGCACUUCCAUGUGGGACACGCACGGUCUCUGUGGACCCCAGGGGUGGCCCAUCCCAGUGGCUGGCUUCUGGGGGUCACGGCUUGGCUGCAUUCCACCACCCUCCCUGUGCCCUUGGCUUGGGGAGCCGCCCUUUCCCCCGUGAGCCUCUCGGGGGGCUGUCGCACUGCAACAGCAUCUUCAAGGCCGGCUUGACUGUGGCACCACAGGCCCUUUAACCACUCCCCCCCUCCGCCCCCCAGUCUGUCCUUUUUGAGGGGAGGAGGCAGAGGAGCUGCUCAGCACAGGGUCUGGAUUGGAUGGGGCGCUGAUCUGAGCAGGCUGCGGCCACGCCCGCCGUGUUAGCAGGGAGGGCUGGCAACCACGUCUCAUAUGUUCACCACGGCCUGUGCCGGCUCAGGGUGGGCUCCACAGUGAGGUUCCGCCAUGGGGUUGAGGAAGGUAAACCGCCCAGUCCUCACCCCUCUUCCUCCUGGGAGCUCUGCAGCCCUUUGCCUCCUGUGCGGUGGGCUGGACAAGCGCGGCGGCUGUGUCUUGUUCACACCUGCCUUUCUGACAGCACAGUGCUUUCUUGACAUCUUAAGGUGAAGGAACAAUUUCAGGUACCAGAAACUGUGUGAAGUGACAGAUGUUUGCGUCACGGGCACCUGCCGUCGUGGGGUUUGUCCCGUGAAGCUGCUGUGGCCUGGGAUACGUUGGGUCCCAAAUGCAGAACUUUUCUGCCUGUCUGAGAUCUGCUGCUGUUUCUUUUGGUGUCCGUUUCCUUGUUAGACUCUUCAAUGAGCCAGGAGUAGGGUGGCUCUCAAAGCCUUUUCCUGCAACCCACACGAAGAGUGCCCUCCGGAGACCUGCGUUAUAGCCAAUUUAUUGUGCAGUUCAGCUCCAGAGCUUAAACCACUCCAGAGAUUUAUGAAGAAUUUGAACAGGUGGCCUUUCCCAGCUGUAAUACCAGGAGAGAUGAACUAGUGUUGGGUUGAUCUUUUAACAUUUCCUCUUCUCCCAUCUUCUUCCUUCUUUUCUUUUGUCUUUCUUUUUUGUUUGUUUUUUUUUCUCCAAAAGAGUACUAUAGGUUCUCGUGAGAAAAAAGAAACAUACGCAGAGGGAAAUAACCACCUGGCACCCCAUGUUGCCUGAAGCUCAUCACGGCAGCUGGUUGAGUAGGCUUUGCGUCCUUCAGAGAGACACACUCUCUUUCUCUCAAAUAAAAAGGAUUGAGGGGUGGCCUGUUGUUUUGGAGUUGAUUAUAAAUCCAUUAACCAUAGCUAUGCUGACAUGGCUGCACAGACAGUAUUGCUUUCAAAUCGUUGCUGCUUUGGAUUCUUGGGUUUCUGUGGAGGAAGCUGAGUGGUCCUGGGCAUGUCCUUUGCCCCCAGCAUCAUUGAUGCCCAUGCUUGUUUCUCCACCUGUCAUCUUUCUUUCAAGUUGAAGUAUAGUUGGUGUACAAUGUUGUGUUAGUUUCAGGUAUACGGCAAAGUGAUUCAUACACACAUGUGUAUAUAUACAUAUAUACAUACGUGUACCUAGAUGCACACAUGUACAUAAGCACACAUAUACAUAGACGUGUGUGUGUGUGUGUGUUCUUUUUCAGAUUCUCUUCCAUUAUAGGUUAUUACAAGGUGUUGAAACCUCCUUCCUUUCUGAUUGAGCCCAGACUUCGGUGUCCCCCACAUUGGGACCAUCCUACUUUGUGCUUCGACUGUGCGUCCAAAUGAGUAGAGUCCCUGAGAAGCAGCUGAGGUGGCCCCCAUGCUGGGCCUCGCUCAGGUGUGUUGUUGUGGGCCUCGGUUGCUGUGGGAGCAGGACAAGGGGGCUGCCCCGUCUCAGUGUCCUGAGGAGGCUGAGCCGAAUGGACUCCGGGUGUUCAUACCGCUUGGUGUAGUGCCGGGUGGGCUCACGAAGUCUCGGUAGGAGCCCUGCCUGCACCCCCUUCAGCAUUCACGCUCCAAACACACCUCGCAUUUUGAGCAGGUGGGGCAUUGACGGGUAGGGUUCAGCAACAGGAUUGAAAAAAGAACUUUAAAGCUGUACCGGGACUUACUUUAUGGCCCAUAUACGGCCUCCUUUGAUGGGUGUUUCACGCGUACUUGAGAAUAUGGUGGGUUCUGUGACCGGGUUAAGGUCGUUCAUGUUCUUUUUUAGAUUUUGCAGCAAUUUGUUGCUCAGCAAUUGAAAAGAAUGCGCUCUUCUUUCAACGCAGUUCACCGUUAGAUCAUACACAAGAGUCAAGGAGAAGGCAAGUUGGGUGACCCCAGACAGUGGCAUAUUGAAAUCACAGGGGACUUUUAAAAAUUAUUGUCUUUAAAAAUGUUUAAAUAUUUAUGUAUUUAUUUUGGCCAUGCCCUCAGCAUGCAGAAGUUCCCCAGGCCAGGGACUGAACCCGCUCCACAGCCCUGACAAUGCCGAAUCCUUAACCACUAGGCCUCCAGGGAGCUCUGAAAUCACAGGAUACGUAAUAAACCGUGUUUUACAUUUUGUAUUCUUACUGAAUUUGAUGAUGAUAAAUCUACAUUGUCCUUUAUUAUAUAUCUUAUAUAAUCCUAUACCUAUCCUACAUAUAUAUAUAUAUAUAUAUGUAUCUCCUAUACAAUCUUGUAUAUCUUAAACAAGUUAAAGCUUUAAACCUGAGAAAAAUAUUUUAUAUUAGUAGGUGAAAUAAGUUUUCACACAGUUUUCUAUCAUGUAGAUUAAAUUGAGUUUUCAAAUAGAAAAAUGCUAACGGGUACGAUGUACCACGACGAAAACGGCUUUUAUUUUUAUUUAUAAGAUUUUUUUUUUUCUUUUUACGGCUGCACCUGGAGCAUAUGGAAGUUCUCAGGCUAGGGGAUGAAUUGGAGCUGCAGCUGAGGCCUACGCCACAGCCACAGCCACGCCAGGUCUUUAACCCACUGAGCAAGGCCAGGGAUCAAAGCCGAAUCCUCACAGACACUAUGUUAAGUUGUCAACGUGCUGAGCCACAACAGGAGCUCCUAAAAUGGUUUUUAAAUCAUCGUUUUACUUGUUCAGAAGUAUUUAAAUAUGUGUAUUAUAGAAUUAAAGUUUUGAAUGAGCAUCUGACAGGCCCCAUUUUAAGUUGCAACUGUGAAAAAUAUAAUUAAUCCAGAAUCCCCAUAUCCAGAUUCACUGGUGUUGUAGGAUGCAUUAUUCAAACAGAGGGGUUGUGUGUUGUCAGUUGUAUGGCUCUUUUCCAUGGUUUUGAAAUUUGAUUCUGAUUUUAUCACCCUUGAGUGUUUUCAACAUUUUUGGCAGGUAUCUUGACACCUAUUUUGCUUUUAGGUUAAAAAAGCAUUACAGUUCUCCUAAACAGUGAGAUUUCUUUCUUUUUUUUUUCUUUUUUUUUUUCUUUAAAGGUCCUGUUCUAUGAAACUCCUGUGGGCACAUGUUUAUAGCUACCUGGCCCAGGGAAGUGCGGUCUCUGUGAGCCAGGCUGGAACACCUGUAUUUUGCACCCCCCACACCCCAACCAGCUUCUAUUUUCAUUCACAAACUGUGAAAACAAGGCUUCAGUGGCCCUGCCCUGUCGCUCGUGUCAUGUGGAAAACUCUCUUAAAGAUACAGAUUUUAUACUCGGUCACCAUGAAUGUGUAAAAUAAUGAAAAAAAUUUUUAAUUGAGGGAAAUUAGGAUUAAGAGGCAAUAAUUCCAAUAAUAGCAGAAGGCAAUCAAAGUACCUGAUUAGCUGUAGUUUUGCUCAUUAGCCUUUAGUUACAUCCAAGUUCAGUGCACAGCACGGAGGAAGUUUCCAUUUAGUGCCGAUAGGCUUCCAACUCCAGGGUUUACCCAGAUGUGCUCAAAACAGUGCGAGUGUGGGUUGUCUUGGGUUCUUGGAGUAGGUUUGACUUUUUUCUAAGACAGAGAAUAGUCCAGAUCUGCUUUGGGCAUACGGAUGUGCCCACGUGCCCUGUUUGUUUGUCCCUUGUGGACAUUGCUGCUUCCCGAGAGGGCACAGCGUCCGCCCACACAUGCUGUCGCCCUGUUCUGUUUGCCCUUAGUGUGUGAUCCUGUUUUCUCGAUUGACAUUCUGCCACAUUACGAAAAACCGAAGUGCUUUUCACGUCGUCUCCAGCACCGUGUACAACAGCUGUAACCCAAGCCUUGCUGAGUGCUGGCUGUGUUCUGUCUGAAUGUCUGUCUUCCUGGUUUGCUCUUCUUGUUUAUUAUUUACUAUCCAUGAGCCUCCCUGGCUCCUCAGUCACCCCUGUCAUUCCCUCUGUGAAUGACAGGAAACCCCACUGAGUAGGUGACAGGAUCAAAAUCCUGGGCAUUCAUGUCUUCCUGCAGCCUGACUGUAGGGGCGUCCACAGAGGUUUCCCAGGAACCGACCUGCACGUAGAGUUGGGGGGAGUGUGCUUUGGGGGGCUGGCGAUCAGCAGCAAGAGAGGCUUUUUCUCACUCAUGCCAUGCUCUUCUCUUUUGCGUCUCUGGUGCUGAAGGUGAUUUAAGAUGUGGCAUCAAGCAUUGCCUGUGUUGCACUGGGAUGCAAUUUGGUUUUGACCAAGAAUGCUGUGAUGCGUGUUCUGUUUUGCUGAUGACCUUGGGAAGUCUCUUCCACUCUCAGUUUCUCGAUGUCUGUGGGAAGCGUGGGUGGAGUAGCAGUUUAAACUCUGGAGAGCGUGUCUGAUUAGGCGAGGUCCAGGCACCAUGAAAGGUGCUUGUGGAGACAGUUGGCUGCUGCCUGGGGGAAAGAAGCCAGAAUCCUCAGGUGGACAGUCUGGCCAGUGUCCUCACUAGAAGAAUGUUGAGAAAAAGACACUUUUGAAAUCGGAAGUUCCCACUGUGGCUCAGCUGGUUAAAGACCUGAUGUUGUCUCCACGAGGAUGCAAGUUCCGAUCCUGGCCUCGCUCAGUGGGCCAAGGAUCCAGCAUUGCCACAAGCUGCAGCAUAGGUGGCAGAGGUGGCUCGGAUCCUGUGUUGCUGAGGCUGUGGUAUAGGCUGGCAGCUGCAGCUCUGAUUCAUCCCCUAGACUGGGAACCUCCAUAUGCCACAGGUAUGGCAGUAAACAAGAAAAAAAAAAAAAAA
rnacentral:lncRNA from 1 species